rnacentral:ncRNA from 1 species
CAGAGCAAACGGGAUAAUCGGGAAACAGGUGAACCUGAAAUGUGGGCGAACCCUGUGCUGCCCCCGCAACGGUAAACAAGCGUGAACUUUACAUCAGUAGUCCAUAAACUACUGAGCCACCCAUAAUGUGAGUACUCACUAUUGUAUUAUGGGAAAGGUGUGAAGGUAUUACUUGUGAGCCCGGAGACCGGCCACUGAAU